rnacentral:rRNA from 1 species
ACGGAGGGUGCAAGCGUUGUUCGGAAUUACUGGGCGUAAAGGGCGCGUAGGUGGUUGUGUAAGUCAGAUGUGAAAUCCCGAGGCUCAACUUCGGAACUGCAUCUGAAACUGCAUGACUAGAGUACAGCAGAGGGAAACGGAAUUCCUGGUGUAGCGGUGGAAUGCGCAGAUAUCCGGAGGAACACCAGUGGCGAAAGCGGCCUCCUGGACCACUCCUGACACUCAGACGCGAAAGCUAGGGUAGCAAACGG